rnacentral:rRNA from 1 species
GACGAACGCUGGCGGCGUGCCUAAUACAUGCAAGUCGAACGAGAGCGACCGGUGCUUGCACUGGUCAAUCUAGUGGCGCACGGGUGAGUAACACGUGGGUAACCUGCUCAUCAGAGGGGGAUAACAUCCGGAAACGGAUGCUAAAACCGCAUAGGUCUUCGAACCGCAUGGUUUGAAGAGGAAAGGAGGCGCAAGCUUCUGCUGUUGGAUGGUCCCGCGGUGCUUUAGCUGGUUGGUGGGGUAACGGCUUACCAAGGGCGUGAUGCAUAGCCGACCUGAGAGGGUGAUCGGCGACAUGGGGACUGGGACACGGCCCAAGCGCCUACGGGAGGCAGCAGUAGGGAAUCUUCCGCAAUGGACGCGAGUCUGACGGAGCAGCGCCGCGUGAGUGGAGAAGGUGUUCGGAUCGUAAAACUCUGUUGUUGGAGAAGAACAAGUGCUAGAGUAACUGUUAGCGCCUUGACGGUAUCUAGCCAGAAAGCCACGGCUAACUACGUG